AGGGGUAACAGGAGUAGCUUGCUAUUUGCUGACGACCGGCGCAGGGAGCGAAACGCGUAUAGAAUCUACCUUAUACGGGGGGAUAGCCUUUGGAAACGAAGAUUAAUACCCCAUAGUAUUAUUUUUUGGCAUCAUUAAAUAAUUAAAGUUUCGGCGGUAUAAGAUGACUAUGCGUUCUAUUAGUUAGUUGGUAAGGUAACGGCUUACCAAGACUUCGAUAGAUAGGGGUCCUGAGAGGGAGAUCCCCCACACUGGUACUGAGACACGGACCAGACUCCUACGGGAGGCAGCAGUGAGGAAUAUUGGACAAUGGAGGCAACUCUGAUCCAGCCAUGCCGCGUGUAGGAAGACUGCCCUAUGGGUUGUAAACUACUUUUAUAUGGGAAGAAUAAGGUCUACGUGUAGAUUGAUGACGGUACCAUAAGAAUAAGCACCGGCUAACUCCGUGCCAGCAGCCGCGGUAAUACGGAGGGUGCAAGCGUUAUCCGGAAUCAUUGGGUUUAAAGGGUCCGUAGGCGGGCAUAUAAGUCAGUGGUGAAAGUCUGUGGCUUAACCAUAGAAUUGCCAUUGAUACUGUAUGUCUUGAAUUAUUGUGAAGUGGUUAGAAUAUGUAGUGUAGCGGUGAAAUGCUUAGAGAUUACAUAGAAUACCGAUUGCGAAGGCAGAUCACUAACAAUAUAUUGACGCUGAUGGACGAAAGCGUAGGUAGCGAACAGGAUUAGAUACCCUGGUAGUCUACGCCAUAAACGAUGGAUACUAGUUGUUUGGCCUUCGGACUGAGUGACUAAGCGAAAGUGAUAAGUAUCCCACCUGGGGAGUACGUUCG
rnacentral:rRNA from 1 species